UACGUAGGGUGCGAGCGUUAAUCGGAAUUACUGGGCGUAAAGCGUGCGCAGGCGGUUCGUUAAGUCAGCUGUGAAAGCCCCGGGCUCAACCUGGGAAUGCCGCUGGAAACUGUCUGGCUAGAGUCCGGGAGGGGCGAGUGGAAUUCCUGGUGUAGCAGUGAAAUGCGUAGAUAUCGAGAGGAACACCAGUGGCGAAGGCGAGUCCCUGGACAACACCUGACACUGAGGCACGAAAGCUAGGGGAGCAAACAGG
rnacentral:rRNA from 1 species